UACGGGGGGGGCAAGCGUUGUUCGGAGUUACUGGGCGUAAAGGGUGUGUAGGCGGUCCUCUAAGUUUGGUGUGAAAUCUCCCGGCUCAACUGGGAGGGUGCGCCGAAAACUGGAGGGCUAGAGUACUGGAUGGGAGAGUGGAAUUCCUGGUGUAGCGGUGAAAUGCGUAGAUAUCAGGAGGAACACCUGUGGUGUAGACGGCUCUCUGGACAGUAACUGACGCUGAGACACGAAAGCGUGGGUAGCAAACAGG
rnacentral:rRNA from 1 species